UUGAAGGGAACAUCGAGUACGUCGAAAAUGGAAAGAAAAUAAAUUAUAAGUAAAAUAAAUGAUUAUCAUUAGCAGUCUAAGAGAUAAAAAAAUUGAGCUAUUGACCUAAAUUAUUUAGAGAAAUGUAUGUAUUACCAAAUUGAUAUAGGAAUUGUGUAGAUGGGAAAAAAGUUCAUUAACUCACGGGCUAAAUCUGACUGGCCAUCGGAAACAAAGGGAUCAAAAUCAAAAUACACAGAAAACACCACCCAUCUGUCGAGGAUAGAUCCCAAGGAAGGAAGAAGACAGACUACUACUAGGAUUCCUCUGUAAUUCUACUAGGACUCAUACCAUGUAAUCCUAUUGGUAAUCCUGCCCCCUGAGUAUAUAAAGGAGGACAGGAGUCCCUAAAUCGGUAGGCGAAGACCUCAUAGAACCACAACAGAGGAUCAAAUCCUCAACACCAAACAACACCCAAGCGCAGGGCGCAAUAUAUAACACUCCAAACAGAAUGUAGGAUAUUACGCUAUUCUGGCAGCCCGAACCAGUAUAAAUAUGUGCCUUGUGUCCUCGCUUUUACCUUAAAGUUCUAGAUCCGGCGACCCCCCACCAACCCAACUACUAUAUCGGGAUAUCCUCGGUAGGUUGCCAGGUAUAAAAUACCGACAUCUAGCGCGCCAGGCAGGGACGAUCAUCAAGAUUAUCGGGCGAACUUAAAGGACCUCAUCAUCCUUAUCAUCAAGAUCAAUUUACUCGGUGUGGUGUGUUGACACUCCGUGCAGAUGAAUCGGCAGAUCAAUUCAUCAAUUUCGAGAUGGGAGCGGACAAAAUCUAUGUCCAUCGCCAGCAAAUUAGCCGCCAUCAUAGUUGGUAGGAAAAGAAAAAAAUUCACAUAUGGAGCGAAGCGACUCCGCGCAUGUUCUAGCGGUCACCAGUUCGUUGCUACCUCAGUUUCCUAAGCGGAAUCGCCUAGUUUCCUUUUCCGACUCCAUCUUCUAGCCCUUGUUUACUUCACCUCCAACUCCCAACUUUGGCACUAUACAAAAAGAAGAUUCCCCAUCACAUCAAACUUGCGGUGCAUGCAUGGAGUACUAAAUGUAGACGAAAUUAAAAACUAAUUACACAGUUUUAUUGUACUUUGCGAGACGAAUCUUUUGAGCCUAAUUAGUCAAUGUUUGGACAAUAAUUCACAAAUACAAACAAAACGCUACAGUGUGCUACAGUGCUGUAACAGUAAUUUGGCACCUUCCAACUUUGGCAACUAAACAAGGCCCUAGUCGAAGUCACCAGGCCACAAGGAAAUUGCCUCCAAGUUGUCGAGUGCCCGAGUCCCAUACGGAAGCGGUGAAGGCCAAUUAACAUUCACACGGAUCAAGGAGGAAAAGCAUCCACUGCUACGAAAUAAACAUCAAGGCGGCUAAGCUACCACCGAUGGACAUCAAUUUAUUGGAUCUCGUCAAAAGCACACGCAAGGGGUAUGCGGCCUGCAUGUUCUUUGAUUGGGCUAUACAGUGCCCCUAAUAAUCUCCG
rnacentral:lncRNA from 1 species